rnacentral:rRNA from 1 species
AACGAACGUUGGCGGCGUGGAUUAGGCAUGCAAGUCGAGCGCGAAACGUAGCAAUACGUGGAAAGCGGCGAAAGGGAGAGUAAUACAUAGGUACGUACCCUUGGACCUGGGAUAGCGGCGGGAAACUGCCGGUAAUACCAGAUAAUGUCUCCGGACCAAAGGUGUGAUUCCGUCUGAGGAGCGGCCUAUGUCCUAUUAGCUAGUUGGUAAGGUAACGGCUUACCAAGGCAAAGAUGGGUAUGGGGUGUGAGAGCAUGCCCCCACUCACUGGGACUGAGACACUGCCCAGACACCUACGGGUGGCUGCAGUCGAGAAUCUUCGGCAAUGGACGCAAGUCUGACCGAGCGACGCCGCGUGCGGGAUGAAGGCCUUCGGGUUGUAAACCGCUGUCGUAGGGGAGGAAAUGCAGGUGGGUACUCCCAUCUGCUUGACUGAUCCUAGGAGGAAGGACCGGCUAAUCUCGUGCCAGCAGCCGCCGCAG